rnacentral:rRNA from 1 species
UUCGCAAUGCCCGAAAGGGUGACGAAGCGACGCCGCGUGUGGGAAGAAGGCCUUCGGGUUGUAAACCACUGUCGGGAGUUAAGAAAUGCAAGGAUAUUAAUAGUGUCUUUGUUUGACUAAGGCUCCGGAGGAAGCCACGGCUGACUCUGUGCCAGCAGCCGCGGUAAUACCGAGGCGGCAAGCGUUGUUCGGAAUUAUUGGGCGUAAAGAGCACGUAGGCGGCUAUGUAAGUCGGUUGUGAAAGCCUUCCGCUCAACGGAAGAACAGCAUCCGAUACUACAUGGCUUGAGUGCGGGAGGGGAGAGUGGAACUUCUGGUGGAGCGGUGAAAUGCGUAGAUAUCAGAAGGAACGCCGGCGGCGAAAGCGGCUCUCUGGCCCAUAACUGACGCUGAGUGUGCGAAAGCUAGGGGAGCAAACGGGAUUAGAUACCCCGGUAGUCCUAGCCGUAAACGAUGGGCACUAAGUAGAGGGGUUUU